CAAGGUAGGAGAGUUCCUUAUGGCAUGUAGGCACAUGAUGGGAUGCCGGUAACGUAUCACACUGGUGAGGAAUGUCUGCCAUGCUUUCUCCUCCAACCAAGUCCAAAGGGAUCCUUAUCAUUUGCGGAUGUGACUGUGGGCUUUACCCAGGAGGAGUGGCAGCACCUGGACCCUGCUCAGAGGACCCUGUACAGGGAGGUGAUGCUGGAGAACUAUAGCCACCUUGUCUCAGUGGGGUGUUGCAUCCCUAAACCAGACGUGAUCCUGAAGUUGGAGCAAGGAGAGCAGCCAUGGAUGCUAGAGGAAGAGUCCCCACGUCAGAGCU